CGGAGUGAUGAAAGACAGGGGAGGCUGCACCAGACUGACCAGAAAAUGAGGUAGCAAAAGAUCGCCCAGUACCAUCUGGAA
rnacentral:snoRNA from 1 species